rnacentral:rRNA from 1 species
ACAUCGCCUCUUGACUUAUCAUAAGAGGUCCAGCCUGCCNAGUGAANUUUUUCAACGGCCGCGGUACCCUGACCGUGCGAAGGUAGCAUAAUCACUUGUUCUUUAAAUGGGGACUAGUAUCAACGGCACCACGAGGAUUUUACUGUCUCCUUUUUCUAAUCAGUGAAACUGAUCUCCCCGUGAAGAAGCGGGGCUAAUAAUAUAAGACGAGAAGACCCCAUGGAGCUUUAAACCCAAUAGCACCUCCAACUAUCUAUUCCCUCUUAGUUUUAAAGUUCUGCUCAUUGGUUUUAGGUUGGGGUGACCGCGGAGUAAAACUUAGCCUCCACAACGCAAGGAGCUUCCUCCUUAUCUUAGAGCCACACCUCAAAGAAUUAACAAUUUGACGUAAAGUGAUCCAAUAAUUUGAUUAAUGAACCAAGUUACCCUGGGGAUAACAGCGCAAUCCAUUUCUAGAGCCCCUAUCGUCAAAUGGGUUUACGACCUCGAUGUUGGAUCAGGGUAUCCUAGUGGUGCAGCCGCUACUAAUGGUUUGUUUGUUCAACAAUUAAAACCCUACGUGAUCUGAGUUC